AUUGAACGCUGGCGGCAUGCCUUACACAUGCAAGUCGAACGGCAACACGGGUGCUUGCACCUGGUGGCGAGUGGCGAACGGGUGAGUAAUAUAUCGGAACGUACCUUAUUGUGGGGGAUAACGCAGCGAAAGCUGUGCUAAUACCGCAUAAUCCCUAAGGGGGAAAGCGGGGGACCGUAAGGCCUCGCGCAAUUAGAGCGGCCGAUACCUGAUUAGCUAGUUGGUGAGGUAAAGGCUCACCAAGGCAACGAUCAGUAGCUGGUCUGAGAGGACGAUCAGCCACACUGGGACUGAGACACGGCCCAGACUCCUACGGGAGGCAGCAGUGGGGAAUUUUGGACAAUGGGGGCAACCCUGAUCCAGCAAUGCCGCGUGAGUGAAGAAGGCCUUCGGGUUGUAAAGCUCUUUUGUCAGGGGAGAAACAGCAGCUCUAACACAGUAUGCGAAUGACGGUACCUGAAGAAUAAGCACCGGCUAACUACGUGCCAGCAGCCGCAGUAA
rnacentral:rRNA from 1 species